rnacentral:lncRNA from 1 species
CCACCGCCGAAGGAGCAGGGCGCUUCUACCGCUUCCACCCGAGCAGGAAGGACGGAAGGGGAAGCCAGACAGAAAGGGAGCUGGCUGCCAAUUCAGUCUGUGUUCUGCCCUGCCUGCCUAUAAGAAAUGCUCCAGAGACAAUGUGAGAAAGCCUGAGAUUUCUGUGCUUCUGGCAACGGGUUCAAAGAAUUUUCUUUCAUGCUUCACCUAAAGAACUUCACAUCCUGCAGCCCAAACAGACUGAAGAACAAAAAUUUCCUCUACUGACCACCAAUCCUACAAGUGCAUUAGAAGCAGGUGUCCAUGCUUCAAUAAACUCCUACACAAAGACUUGGCCCGGGACUCCACCAAGGGAUCGCCAUCCUGAGAGCUCACAACAAGUUCAUGCUGUAGGCAUCACAGGGCUCUGAGUUAGCAGGCUUUCUCAUGUGCACUGUGUGAGAGCUGGGAAGAUGGUUUCUAAGGAUGCUCCCUCAAGUCUUCAUCUCAGCUGUCCUGGGUUCUAGAUCCACCCUUGGCCUGCAGUCAGCCUAAGGGAAAUCACUCCUUACAGAACCUUCUUCGG